UUAUACGUAUUGCGUGGCAUUGCAAAGGAUUUAGCAUAGGCAUAUAACUGCCAAUAAUGUGCAGAAUUGAUGCUAAUAAUGAUUGAUCGUACUAACAAGAUUUUAUGUAAAGGAAUGCCUGCUUUAGCGAAUAUUGGAUUAUGUUAGUAAGUCAAUUAAUAAGAACUGGUAAAACCUAUUUAAAUAUAAUAUGCUUUUAUAUGAAUGAUGUAAUACUAUACGCCAAUGAAUGCACAGUAAGAAAUACCUACAGCUAUUAUACAACUAUUCAGAAACCUAACAAAUUUACUCUCCAGCAGAUGCCCUCUAAGGGCAAAAAUACGAUUAACAAAAUUGAAUUUCAGAAUCUAGUAGUUUUCUUCUCCCUACUGUUGUCGUGCUUUCUUCAGCCGGAAAUAAUCUUCACUUUUAUUCCUGUUCUGUGAAAUGCGUGUGUCUUCUCAACAAGAAAGGGAGUGAGUUAACUUAUAUGUCUGCAGGUCUGCCUGACUGCUGGUGUCAGCAGCUGCUCGUUUACACGCCACUAUUAUUUUCUUCGCUCGCUGCGCUAACUUCGCGUGUCAACUCGGUGCCUGAAUACUCCUAUCCCCGCUAAACAGGGAAGGGAAGACGUCUUAAAAUAUAUGUUAACAGGUGCAAGUAGUACAGAAAGCGAACGUCAGCAGCUCCGUUAUCAGCUGCUACCAGCACCAACCUAACAGCUGCUCACCUCGGUGAUCUACAGUCUUGGACACUUGUAAGCAAAAAUUAAGAUAUCUCACCUAAUAACGAAAAAUAUGCUAGCUAGUCUCUGUGUGUUUUAGUUUGCCUUGCUGACCAUGAUAUGAGAUGACCAUUCUGCCCGUCUUUCGGGUAGUUCAUUAAUGGUCACUUUCUCGACCUUUACUGCAGACAGUUUGAUAGCCUGACGGCGACCCCCGUUCAACUCACCUUAAAUGCGCUUAGUAAGUGUAAAUUGCAGCUUAAACAAAAGUGAGCUACAGAUAACAGACGUACGGUACCAGUAAUUAUCUUCACUAGACUGCUCGAGUUCGCAACUUGACUUCGGGCUUCAGGCUUCGGACGGCGUGCUGCCUAAUAGUGACUAAUCGGUCAUAUAUCCCGUCUGUUUGAAGACCGCUAGUCGACGUGCUCGGCAUCGACAGCGCGGUGCCUCUUCUGACGUCAGAAACUAGUUGAAGAUCUGGCUCUUCUCGUCAUCAGCGGGCACCGGUCUGCUCUACCUUUUGACAGCGGGCAUCACUCUGCUCAUCCUUCUGUCAUCCAAAGUCAGCGAGUACCGGUCUGCCAACUUUUGCCAGCAAUCGCCAAUCGGCUCAACCGUCUGACACCGAGUAGUCGAAUUGCUGCGCAUCGUAGUGAAGAUCGGUCUCCUCGCUCGUCUCUGCGUCAGCGGGCACCAGUCUGCUCAACCUUCUAUCAGCGAGUCUGCUCGACCAGUCAGCAGGAGCCGGUCUACUCGCUUACCUGCCAGCGGGUGGUCGACUCCUAGUCAUCGGCCACCUUUCGUGACCUGCGAGUUCGCCUACUCUGUUCGCCCUCCUGCCAGCAAGUAUCAAUUUGAUCGCCUGCCUGUCAGCUGAUUUCAGUCUGCUCGCCCUCCUAUCAGCGCGUGCCAGUCUGCUCGCCUUCCUGUCAGCCUUGCCGAUCUGCUGGCAAUCCUGUCAGCGGUUGCCGGUCUACUGGACUUCUUGUCAGCGUGUGCCAGUCUGCUCGCCUGCCUGACAGCGGGGCUACCAGUCUGCUCGCCUUACUGUCAGCGGGUUCCAGUCUGCUCGCCUGCCCGACAGCGGGGGUGCCAGUCUGCUCUCCUUCCUGUCAGCGGGUGCCAGUCUGCCGGGCCUUCGUGUCAGCGGGCGCCAGUCUGCCGGGCCUUCCUGCAGCUUUUCUUCCUGUCAGCGCGAGCCUGUCUGUUCGCCUAUCAGCGGUUGCAAGUCUGCUCGCCUGCCCGACAGCGGGGGUGCCAGUCUGCUCUCCUUCCUGUCAGCGGGUGCCAGUCUGCCGGGCCUUCGUGUCAGCGGGCGCCAGUCUGCCGGGCCUUCCUAUCAGCGGGGAUGCCAGUCUGCUCUCCCUCCCGACAGCGGGUGCCAGUCUGCCCGCCCUCCUGAUAGCGGGUGCGGGUGCCACUCCCGGGCCUUCCUGUCAGCGAGUGGUUGUCUGCUGGCCUUCAUGUCAGUGGCCGCCAGUCUGCUCGCUUUCCUGUGAGCGGGGGUGCCAGUCUGCUCUCCCUCCUGACAGUGGGUGCCAGUCUGCUCGCCUGCCUGUCAGCGGGUGCCAGUCUGCCCACCCUCCUGUUAGCGGGUGCGAGUCUGCUCGACUUCCUGACAGCGGGUGCCACACUACCGGACCAUCCUGUCAGCGAGUGGUGGUCUGCUCGCCUUCCUGUUAGAAGGUGCCAGUCUGCUCGCCUUCCUGUCAGCGGGCGCCAAUCUGCCGGGCCUUCCUGUCAGCGGGCGCCAGUCUGGCGGGCCUUCCUGUCAGCGGGGAUGCCAGUCUGCUUUCCCUCC